rnacentral:sRNA from 1 species
UUUCUUGCUACAUCCUCGCGACUAAUGACAAUACUGAAUAUUUUUACUUAUUUUGUGAAUAUCAGUAUUGUCAUUAGCCGCGCGAACCGGUUGUAGCUAAAGAAGCUCACAUUAUUUAGAAAUAAAUUGACAAAAAUCUAUUUCCUAAAAUCAUUUUGUAAGUGUAAACCAAUUCUAAAAAUUUUUUCCGCUUUCUAGCAGAAAAGGGGCCUACUGGCCCCUUUU